UCCCUGAUGGUCCAGUGGUUAGGACUUCACGCUUUUGCUGCCAAGGGCCUGGGUUCAACCCCCGCUCAGGGAA